rnacentral:rRNA from 1 species
UACGUAGGGGGCAAGCGUUGUCCGGAUUUAUUGGGCGUAAAGAGUGUGUAGGCGGUCAGGUAGGUCCGUUGUGAAAACUCGAGGCUCAACCUCGAGACGCCGAUGGAAACCAUCUGACUAGAGUCCGGAAGAGGAGAGUGGAAUUCCUGGUGUAGCGGUGAAAUGCGUAGAUAUCAGGAGGAACACCUGUGGUGUAGACAGCUUACUGGACCAUAACUGACGCUGAGGCACGAAAGCGUGGGUAGCAAACAGG